rnacentral:ncRNA from 1 species
UGGGCACGGGGGUCCUAGUCCCGAACCCGUCGGCUGCCGGUGCAUUGCUCGACCUGCUUUCGCGGUGAAAGCGGGUCGCCGCGUGCCGGCCGGGGGACGGACUGGGAACGGCUCCUUCGGGGGCCUUCCUCGGGCGACAAACAGUCGACUAAGAACUGGUACGGACAAGGGGAAUCCGACUGUUUAAUUAUAACAAAGCAUUGCGAUGGUCCCUGCGGAUGCUCA